rnacentral:rRNA from 1 species
AUAUAAUUAUUUGAAUAAUUAAUUAUCAAAUUUAUAAAAUAAUAAUAAAUUUAAAAAAAUUUUAGUAAUAAUUAUAAAAAAAUAAAUAAUUUUAUAGAAUUAGUAUUGUGAAAGAAAUAUAAUUAUUAUAGUAAAAUAACUAAUAAAAUCAGUUACCUUUUGUAUCAGGGUUUAUUAAAUUUAAUAAUUAUAUUAAUUAUUUCUCGAAACAAAUUGAUCUAUUUAUUUAUAAUAGUUAAUGUAAAAUAAUUAUUAUAAAUUAAUAAAUUGAAGUGAUAAAUUUUAUCAUAAUUUGUAUAUCUAGUUAUUUUAUAAAUAAAUUUAAUUUAAUUAAAAUUUAUUAUAUAAUUUAAGUGAUUAAAUUAUAUAAAAAUUUUAUUAAAAUUAUUAGGGAUAAACUUAAUAAUUUUUAUAAUAUAAUUUUAUUAUUAUUAUUUAAUUUCUAUAAAAAUAUAAAUUUUUUUUAGUAAAUAAUUUGUAAUAAUUAAUAAUUAUUUGAUAAAAUUUUUAUAAAAUUAUUUAAUUAAAUAUAAAAUUAUUAAUUUUAAUUAAUAAAAUUAAUUAAUUAUAAUAAAAUUAGUAAAAUUAUUUAAAUAAAUUAAAUAAUAUAAUUGAAUGAUUAUAAAUUAAGGAAUUAGGCAAUAAUACAUUAUUCACCUGUUUAUUAAAAACAUGGUUUAUUGAAUAUAAUAAUAAAUUAAUUCUGCUCAAUGAGUAAAUUCUUAAAUAGCUGCAGUAUUUUAACUGUACAAAGGUAGCAUAAUCAAUUGUCUUUUUAUUAAAGUCUGGAAUGAAAGAAAUGAUGAAAUAAUAACUGUCUCAAAAUAAUUAAUGUUUAAACUUUAUUAUAAGUUAAAAUUCUUAUAUAUAUAUAAAAGACGAGAAGACCCUAUAGAAUUUUAUUAUUAUUAUUAAUAUUUUAUUAUUAUUUAUAAAAAUUAUUAUAAUAAUAAUUAUAUUGGGGGGAUAUAAAAAUUUAAUUAAUUUUUUAAGUAAUUUUAACAAAAAUAUUUGAAUUAUUUUAUCCAAUAUUAUUGAAUGUAAUAUAAAUUACCUUAGGGAUAACAGCGUUAAAUUUUUAGAGAGUUCAUAUUGAUAAAAAAUUUUGCGACCUCGAUGUUGAAUUAAAAUAAAUUAUUAUUGUAGAUAAUAAUAUAAUUUAGUCUGUUCGACUAUUAAAAUUUUACAUGAUUUGAGUUUAGAUCGGUGUAAGCCAGAUCGGAUUCUAUCUUUAUAAAAUUAUAAUAUUUUUGUACGAAAGGACUUUAUAUUAAUAAUAAUUAUUAUAAUUUUGAAUAAAAUUAUAUAAAUUA